ACCCAUCCCCCCCUCCUACGGGAGGCAACAGUGGGGAAAAUUGCACAAUGGGCGCAACCCUGAUGCUGCGACGCCGCGUGAGGGAUGACGGCCUUCGGGUUGUAAACUUCUUUCAGUAGGAAAGAAGCGAAAGUGAUGGUACCUGCAGAAGUAGCCCCGGCUAUUUACGUCCCAGCAGCCCCGGUAAUACCUAGGGCCCAUGCGUUUUCCGGUAUUAUUGGGCGUAAAGAGUUCGUAGGCGGUUUGUCUUGUCAGCCGUGAUAGUCCGGGGCUCCACUCCGGAUCUGCGGUGGGUACGGGCAGACUCGAGUGAUGUAGGGGAGACUGGAAUUCUUGGGGUAGCGGCCAAUGCGCCGAACUCCGGAGGAUCUCCGAUCCCUGAGGCAGGUCUCAAAAAAAAGAAAGGGGGGAAAAGAGGGGAAAAAGGGAGAGAAAAAAGGAGGGGGGCCCCCGGGGCCCCCCCCCCGGCCCCCCCCCCACCGCCCCCCCGGGGGACCCCCUUUUUCCCCCCGCUUGGAAAUUACGCAAGAUAAUCUAAUAUUUAAAACGU
rnacentral:rRNA from 1 species